GAUGAACGCUGGCGGCGUGCCUAAUACAUGCAAGUCGAACGCAUUGUGGUUGAAAUGAUAUGAAGAACUUGUUCAGAUUUGAUUUUCAACAUUGCAAUGAGUGGCGAACGGGUGAGUAACACGUGGGAAACCUACCUCUUAGCAGGGGAUAACAUUUGGAAACAAAUGCUAAUACCGUAUAAUAAUUAAAACCGCAUGGUUUUAGUUUAAAAGAUGGUCUUGCUAUCACUAAGAGAUGGUCCCGCGGUGUAUUAGUUAGUUGGUGAGGUAAUGGCUCACCAAGACAAUGAUACAUAGCCGAGUUGAGAGACUGACCGGCCACAAUGGGACUGAGACACGGCCCAUACUCCUACGGGAGGCAGCAGUAGGGAAUCUUCCACAAUGGACGAAAGUCUGAUGGAGCAACGCCGCGUGUGUGAUGAAGGGUUUCGGCUCGUAAAACACUGUUGUAAGAGAAGAAUGACAUUGAGAGUAACUGUUCAAUGUGUGACGGUAUCUUACCAGAAAGGAACGGCUAAAUACGUGCCAGCAGCCGCGGUAAUACGUAUGUUCCAAGCGUUAUCCGGAUUUAUUGGGCGUAAAGCGAGCGCAGACGGUUAUUUAAGUCUGAAGUGAAAGCCCUCGGCUCAACCGAGGAAUUGCUUUGGAAACUGGAUAACUUGAGUGCAGUAGAGGAAAGUGGAACUCCAUGUGUAGCGGUGAAAUGCGUA
rnacentral:rRNA from 1 species